UCAGGUGAUCUGUCCCCCUUGGCCUCCCAAAGUGCUGGGAUUACAGGCAUGAGCCACCAUGCCUGGCCUCUACCUGCAUCAGAAGUGGCAUGAUAUUCGCAGCCAGAUUUCUGCUUUGUAUCAAAGUACCUGAAGGUUUAUGAAAUGUAGGAUAAAACUAUAUUUCUAUAAUUUUGCACAGUUUGCAUGAAGAGAGUUUAGUUUUUUAAAAUCAUAUAUUGACAGCUAAAAAUGUCUAAUUCUAUGAUUACUCAUUCCCAAGACGCGGUGCCAUGUACUUCAACGUAGCUGCUUAUACCAUGUCCUAAAAAAACGCCUCUGUGGAUGCAGGGAAAGGUUAGUUUUUAAGAUGAUAACAAAUCAUCACAUUCUUUCUCCCAACUGUGUUCACAGUCUUCCUCUGGCUGAAGCCUCACACACUAAACAUAUGAUCUUUGUUUCUAUGUUGGUCUCAGAGCUCACUGCCUUUUCUGCUGACUGCAGUGAAAACUGGUUGGCUAAUUCUGCUUUUCACAGUCUGUCUGCGUUUCAACUUGCUUUCCUCAUCAGGGAUAUUUCCCUGAGAAAGACAGGAGAGGAUAAUUGGCUAAUCAGUAUGGAGAACGGCAUCCUGCAGGGAAGCUGGGGAGUUCAGAGGCCACACACCCUCACUCCCUCACCCCUUCACGCUGUCCUCCUAUGAAAACUCAAGCCUAUGGAAAUUGUCUUCCGCUUAUUAUCAGGAUGCUCUAGCAACUUGGGGCCUAGCACCUCAUCCUGUUUGAAAGAAAACACACCCUGGGAAUUUUACCAUGAAAAAAGAAAUGUUUCUGUGAGAAUGAAUUUAUAUAGCAUGAAUUCUGUCUUGAAUUCCCUUUAAAAAAGGAGGUGGGGAGUGGAAACGCCCCGUCAGAAAAUUGUCCCAUGCACAGGACCGAUUUACAAUGAGGACAGAGCCUGAUAUUAGAACGGAACAGGCACGGAUUACUGGCCAUGCUGAUUCCACGGCUGGCCAAAGAGUCACGGCACACUCCUCCAACAAAAGCAGCCCCUGCCUCCUUCCUGUUCGACUCCCCGGACCCCUACACCGACCCUGCCUCAGGGCGGCCUCCAUGCCCUGCCCAGAGCAGCCGCGGCCAUCAUAUCGCAUGUCGAGAAGGCCCUAACGUCUGUGGCCAUCAGAUCACACACUGAAAAGGCCUUAACAUAACCAAACAGAUUUCCUCUCAAGCAGCCCCUCCUCCUCAGACACCAGCAGCCCAGGACGCCAUGGCACACCUUUGGGUCACUGAUCUAGAGAACGUGAUACAGGAAGCCAGGAAGACUGUAGAAAAGGAAGACGUCUGCAUUUCACCCAAUUUAACCUGCAUGUCACCUGAUUUAACCUCGUGAUCGAGUGGCAAGGCAGCCCUGAGAUUCAGUAAAGAGUAGUGAAGAAAGAACCUCAUAUAUUCUCCAAGGUAUUCCAGAAACAGAGCAUUUAAAGCAACAUCUAUGUGCUACAGGCAGCUGCACACACGGAAGCUUUCUUUAGUCUAGAAAGCACAUUUCUAGGCUCUUCCUCAUGAAAUGUGAUUCCUGUCUAUGGGAAGAUGCAAUGUCUGCUAUAAAAAAUGUACGUAUGUGUGUGUAUACAUUGAUUUAGAGAUAUUUUAGUGGACUGGAUUAUGAAUACAAACCAUACCUUGCUAGGUAUUAUGUAUCUAUUUACGAUAUAUUUCUCAAAUCACAGGAAUCCAAAAAAUAUCAUAACAUAAAAAGAUCUGAUAAUAGAAACAUCUAUGACCAUUGAACAAUAACUUUCUUAACUUUAGCAUAACAAGGGGAUUUUUAAUUAGUGUGAACUUAGUCUGUAAUGAUGUAUUCUAAAAACAAAAUUCUUCACGCAAAACACCAGCCUAUGUUAGGUCUACUGUAUAAUAAAUAUAACUUUGCUUAAUUAAAUAUGAACUUAAUCUGAAAUGGGUUUCUCAGGUAUUAUCCCCUGUUGGUCAAAUAAGCAGAAGGUGAUCAGGAGAACAUGAGUUCCAUUACAAGGAAAACCAUGCAAAGUGUUUGAUUAUCUAUCCACCACCUACAGAAAAUAAUAUCAUCUUAAUUAGCCUCAGUUUCUAAUUUGUAUGAUGAGAGAAAAAGAGCUUCUGCCCUAUACAUCUUCUGCAAUCAAUGUGAAGAUCAAACUCAAUAACGUGAUUAAAUAUGCCUGUUGGAAACUUACAUUAUUAGUACUAUUUUGAUUCAUGUAAACAACAAUGCUGGAGGAUCCUUGAAAUUAAAAUAAAUACUUAAUCUUAAAUUAUAAAUAAUAGUCCUUCUAUAACUUGUGGGUUCUUAUUGUAAUAAUCUGGGAGUUUGUAUACGUUUGUUUUAUCUAAAACAAAACCUCUUAGUAAAGUCCACAUUUCAGUUUAUUAUAGAAGUGAAAAUGCUCGACUGGAUGAACAAAUAAUGGCAUCCAGCCAGGAUAAGUCGCCUGGGACUUUCUCUCUACUCGCGAGGCUGAGGCCAGCGUGAACUUGUCCCAGCAGCUCCAUCACGAUGCCCUGGUUUCUGCAGUCAGAUGGGCACCUGUGCCACUCACACUAGGCUCCGUGCUCUGACCACGUGGCUUCCUCUUAACCUCAGGUCAUGGUCUGUGCUGCUAUGUGUUAGAAAAGGGGCACAAUCAACUUCAGGGGAAUCUGUUGCUGGCCCAGGGACAUAGCAGUCACUGUGAGUGUCACCCAAGGAACACGAAAGGCCAGCCUCAAGAUGCUGACUCAGAGCUCCAGCACUCAGACACAGAAUGGGACCCCCCAGCUUUUAGGGAAUGCAUGGUUUCUGCCAAGCCUCUGGAAGGGACAAAAGGACAUCUCUGGUAGGCACUGUAUGGAAUCUCCUGUACUUACGCUACAUAUCUCACAUUAAAAGUGCUGCUGUCAUGGCAGACAUUUACAUUUGUUGAUAGUGAUUUUGGCACUACAUUUAACAGUAAGGUAAAAUAUAACGUACUCAACAGCAAGAAUAUUCAAACAGGAGAUGGGCUGUUGUACGCCUUUCAAAGCCUCCUUUCAAUACAUUAAACUAGGAGUUUGAUCACGUAAAAUGACUGCUCUGUCAACAGAGUUAUCCUGUUCCUUUGAUACAGAAGCUGCUUGGAGAUUUCUGACCCUGACGGGGUACGAGAGACCAGAAGAUACUCCAUCCAGCUGGAGAACCUGCAGGUGACGUUGGCUAAAUGUGGUAUUGAAACACCCAGGUGGGGCUCCCCCAGCGGAGACGUCUUUCUCCGAGAGAAAGGCUUCGUGAGUGUAUCUCCAGGAAUCAGGCCUCUCAGUUGAUUAAUUCUUGGGAAAAAUGCAUUUGUUUGUCUUAGAAAUCAAACAAGCCUUCAGUGUCCCUCCAGAGAAGCUGUGGCAAUGGAAACCUAGUGGAAGGUCCCCACAGGGCAUGCAAAGCUGUUGGUCCUAAGUGGCUGCCUGGGACCUGGGAUUCUCAUGAGAGGCUCUCUGAAAGGGAGUGGAGUAUCACGCUCUACUGCCAGGAUGCUCAGUAAACUGGGUGCACCUGUCUCACACUGCUAGUAGGUAGGUUAUCUCACAACGUCUCACUAUGGCUGCACCCUUCCUGAGUAGUUCAUUUGAUUCCUUUAAAGGUCAUGUCAUAGGUGAUAAUAGAAGUUAUUUCCUUGGGGAGCCAACUGCUGAACAUGAAUUCUGAAACCAGACACCCCACAAUUGACUAUGAAUUCUUUCACGGUCCUGCUACCUCUUCACAGCUGUUUGCUUUUGGCACCUCCUGUCUUCCGUGCUCUGGACUCAGCAUUUGCUGAUCACCUGAGAGGUGGCCACCACGCCAGGUCUGGCCACAGAGUCAGAAAUCCUAGGUCCUGAGACGUGGCCACCAUGCCAGGUCUGGCCACAGAGUCAGAAAUCCUAGUCCUGGAGAUGUGGCCACCAUGCCAGGUCUGGCCACAGAGUCAGAAAUCCUAGGUCCUGAGGCCAAUCAGCCAUUGUUCCUUUGCGGUGCUGUCACACAUCCACUGGGUGCCCAUUUACUCACAUUAUUCUGGCAAAAAUGUCUUUAAUUCUAGUUUGCUUUCUGGCUUUUAAAAACAAUUAUGUCCUAAGUGUUCAAGUCAGAAUAAACAAACCCUACGCAGUCACAUUCUCAAACUGUUUCAAUAACGCUUCUGACUGCCUUUCAAAGUAUAUCACUUUGUACUUUUAAAGAAAUAUUUAAAUUUGACCAUAAACUAAAACUGAAUUUUUAAUUCUAGAAAAUGGAGAGCAAAACCUGGUUAAGGUCCCUGGUGUAAACGAUACCUAUUUACAGAUUUCCUAUCUUAAUCCGUGAUGGUUACAGUGAAACGGCCACACUGUAACCAUCUUUCUGGUAAGUCCUGGUCAAGUUACAAAUCAUUAAUCAGCCUCCACGAUUAAUGAGGUCACUCAAAACCACACUCACUUAAUACAGUGUUCAGAAAUAAUUUGCCAGGUUGAUCUACUUUCCAAAUAUUUUACUAUACAAAUCUAUCAUUUUAAUUCUUACCAUCUCAUUAAUGACACUGGUGCCUCGUGUCCCAGGUAGAUUUAAUAGCAAUGAUGGUAAGUCUGUUGAUAUGGGUUCUGAUAGGCUUCUCCACCCAGCAUUCUACCACAGACAGACAAAAAAUCUUAGGAGACUAAUUUUAAUUUACGUAAUGCAUGUGUGUGUGCAUAUGCAUCUAUGUGUAUAUAUAUGUGUGUGUACAUAUGCAUCUAUGUGUACAUACACAUAUCUAUCUUCUAUAUGUCUAUCUGUGCCUGUGUAUUUAUGUACAUGCAAGUGAUGGAUUCUUUGCAUUAGAAUCUUAAGCCACUGUAACAAUCUAGGAUUAUUUCCUAAAAUUCAGGUUUCCUAGUACAAACUCCUCUGACUUCUGAAGGAGGAGUGGUAAUUUAAGCCUGCCCAUGAGAUUAGCAACAAGCAACUCACAUCUCCCUGAUGUAUGGAGGCACCUGAUGUAUGGAGGGACCUGAUGUACGGUACGGAGGGACCUGAUGUAUGGAGGGGACCUGAUGUAUGGAGGGGACCUGAUGUAUGGAGGGACCUGAUGUAUGGAGGGGCCUGAUGUAUGGAGGGGACCUGAUGUAUGGAGGGGACCUGAUGUACGGAGGGACCUGAUGUAUGGAGGGACCUGAUGUACGCAGGGACCUGAUGUACGGAGGGACCUGAUGUAUGGACCCACUGGCUCAAACAACCACCCUUUGUGUCCAGAAAUUAGUUCUCCUGGAAAUCAGACUCUUGAAGAACUUUUGAGCCCAAGGGAGAAGGGCAAGAAAGAAAAUUCCCUUCACUUUCAACAUGUUUGGGCAUUUCUAUGAGGAAAACCCUAAGCCAAUAAAGAUGAUAGCUAGGCUUUGCAAAAAAACGAACAAGCAAGCAAACAAA